rnacentral:lncRNA from 1 species
GCUAUAUCUGUCCAAUCACAGUGAAGCACCAAGGUCCUACCCUUUCCGUAAUGGUUUCUUGCUUUUGUGUUCUGGAAAAUGUUUGCGUGCUCAGGAUUUGUUUGUGCGUUUUCACUAAUGUUUUUGUGACUUGCACUUCAGGGCCACCGUAGGGUAACAGAGGAAAGGCAACUAUUUAACAGCUGCUGUUUGAUCAUCGUAUGUUAUACUUUCUAGAGGAAGUUUAAACUAUCCUUGUUCAUAAGAGUAGGCCAACGAAACAAGUAUAUCUGAUAGCAAGGAUAUGCAACAAAUCCAAACAGAACAAUGCAGAGGUGAUGCCCUCCUGUUCUAGGUCCCGACUCACAAUGUCCAAUUUGAUCAGUGGAGGUGAUGCCCGACUCCAUCUGUCCAUUUUUAUCAUCCGGACAUUCCGUCCCACAAACGCCCCUCUCCGAUGACCUCCCCCUCUCGGGUCUGUAGACCUCUCUGCACUGCAGUACCUACAUGCAUGCAUCUGCAGGACCCUCC